GCAAGUCGCACGAGAACCCAUCUUCGGAAGGGGGACAGUGGCGAAAGGGUGAGUAAUGCAUAGAUAACCAACCCGCGACUUCGGGAUAACUAGAGGAAACUCUAGCUAAUACCGAAUUGUCUCGCCGUGUCGCAUGACACUGGCGAGUAAAGAUGGCCUCUCAACGAUGCCCUUGGGCGCGGACAUGUCUAUGUGCUAUCAACGCUAGUUGGUGAGGUAACGGCUCACCAAGGCUAUGACGGCUAGCCGACCUGAGAGGGUGACC
rnacentral:rRNA from 1 species